AACUAAUUAAAAGUCAAUUAUUAUUUGAACAGGAAGUAUAUAAACAUUAAUAAGAUUGAAAUAACGCAUCUUCGCAAAGUAAUCGUCACACGAAAGUGAUAAAAUAGUAACCUGUUGCAGAAUACUACAUAUGAUUUCGAAUGCAACAACAGGUUUCAUGGUGAAAUAUAUUUAUUACAUAGCAGGGUGGUUGUUGUACCGUACAAACACGGCCCUGGCUUUGGCCACUCAGUAAGUAGCCGAAGUGAUAUUUUGGUCGAGCUGGGACAGUGGGAUGGGAUAUGAUUGCCUUCUCGUAUUGCUGCGGCUUGAGACAUGAGCUCUCGGAAGAAAAGAGGAAGAGAGACCGAGCAAAAUGAUCCGAGAGCCUCCGAGGUGUUGGAAAGGCACGAUGAAAGACAUAUGAGGAUUCCAGCGGCGAGAUAGGAUAUGCCUGCCGACUAUGUUACGGCGAAAAUCUUUUGAGGUCCACCUUACGCGUGUUACUUCUCUCUUUUCCCUCGAUUUUUUCGCAGAAUCGAUAGAUUUGAAUUUUAACGGAAAGAACUUAGUAUAACUGUUCCUUUAAUUGUUAUUGUAAUCAAUGUUAUUCCUUUGCGGACAUUGAGGCAUUGUGCGAGGGAAAAGAGAACAGCUUUCAUUGUUCCUGUAGGAAGAAUUUUAUUUUCAUUAUUCAUGCAUUUCUUAACAUUUAAAUUUACUCGUCGUUUAUCUAAAAUUGCUCAUUGUUAUAGGUAAAAGUUAGAACACGAAAGUUAAUUUUGAAAUUCACGGCGGUUCGUGAAGCACGUGGCGCUGUCAACCUCGUACGCGAGUCAAGAAAGACGUCCCUCUAUUUACGACAUAAGGAUCAGAAGACAGCCUAAUGAAUGAAAAAGAAAAGAAAAAAAUUAAAUAUCUCGCGCCUUGAAGGUGGAUUCGGUGCAGGAAAUGGCGCGCGCGUAGGAGAAGAGAAAAACAGAAGCGUUUGCCAUUUUGGCACCAAGUUAAAUUUACGAUGAAACCCAAUUUUAAAUCAUAUUUGUUCCAAGUCACCUGUCGUCGUGCAAUUAAGGAGGAUGAGUCGACAAACGAUAACCUACGGUCAUUUUGUUGUUGCUAAUAAGAUUGUAGCACUGGCUAACGACUAUGCUCGUCACUUUUUAACGUUAAUUAUAUCGUUAGAUUGCAACGGCAAUGCUAUAAAUUUCGUCCUGUAACUUUUGAACAUAUAUACUUUUCUAAAUUAUUAGAUGCAUUGCACGAUUAGAACGAAUACAGUUGACGGGAGAUUUGAAUUGGAUACUCAAUAUUUAAAUAAAACCGGACGAAGAAAAGGACGGUGACGACGCAGAAGUUUAAGAAGUAGACAGAGAGAUGAAGGUUGCAGACGUAAAGCAUAAACAGUGGAGGUGCGAUUUGACGCGCACUCAGCCAUCCAAGGCGCAUCUCGCUCGUUGAACGUACGCUUUAAGAAUCCCGAAGAAGCGACCAACCCAAUGGCUGGAAUCUGUAAAUCUGUCAUUGCGGCCAUAUUCGUGCGGCUGGUACCGCAGGAUAUGAACUUCUGCUCGUCGUAUACACCACCGUCGUACGGCUCUAGAUCUCCGCGUUUCUCUUCUUUUCAGAGCUUUGCACCGAAACGGAAGCUUCUCCCUGUUUCUCGAAAUAACAAAUCUUCUUUUUGUUUUCACAAAUGUGACAAACUCUAGGAAACUACAUAUCUUUUUUGUCAUCUUCCUCAUGAAUUAAGAAACUCAUGUUUUUUUUUUGAAAAGACUAAAAUCCCAGUUUUGCUUUAUUACGAUGCAAACUCUUUCUUACUUAUUCUUAUUGUAAUUUAAUUUUACUCGACGUUAUGCACAAAGCGAACUCUUUUUAGAUAAAUAACUAUGAUCUAACUUUAUAAUGGAAUUGAAGAAUAGAUCUGUUUUAUCGUAGAUGCUAUUGUAGAGAUUGCAGAUUCGGUGAAAAGCUGAAAAACCAUUUGGUUGUAUCAAAGUGCGUGAAAACUAUAAAAGCGGAGAGGCAGUCGUCGCACCGUAUACGCGGUAUUCCCUCUGGUAGCUGGCGAUGACGGAUUCAUGGCCCGUGGGAUAACGCAAGACCUCACCCCGAGAUGUUUCGGUUUACGGAUGCACGCUCUUCCCUUCUUUUUUCUUCUAUUUCUCACCUUUUUUUUUUCGUUUCAUCUUCCGAGCGAUUCAUUUGUCGGUCUUUGAUCCGCGACCAACAAGCUACUACCGGAAAAUUGGCGAGAUUUAUUAAACGGUUGCCUUCUCUAGACCGUUAUCCAUCGUUCAUUUCUUUUCUACUUUUAUUUAUUCCAGGAUAUCGUAGAAGAUACACUGUUUAUUGGAUAGACUUUCAAGAGGCUUGUAUUUGGGUGGUCAGAAGAGCAAGCGAAACGAUGGAAAAGUGACAAAUUCCAGAUACUUCGUCGGAGGUCGUCGAACGUGUUCUCAAUGGGACACAAGAACCUGCAGGGAUCCAAGAGCAAAAUAAAGGGCUACCUUUGGUAUCAAAUUUUAACACCUCAUCAGUGGAACCUACACCUACUUCGAGAAUGUAAAAACACCCGGAACCAAGUUG